rnacentral:rRNA from 2 species
CAACUUCAGGUGGUGGAUCACU